CCCCAAACGACGAGUCCAUAUGUAACGGAUGGCAGUAUUAUCUUAAAAUACAAGUCCAAUAGGGCGUUUCAGUUUAAAAACGAACUCCUUUUCGAGAGGUUCAGUUUGUUAACAAAGUUCUUUUUUACAUCUGUGAGAUGAUGUUCCCGGGAAAGCCUGUCGUCGACAUAACACUAAAUGUCCUAGAGCCCUCUUUCACUGAUCAAAAAGUAGGUUGCGCUUUUGUGAAAUUGGUUUAAUCCAUAGCCAAAAGUAAAGACCCGAAAAAAAUAUGGAUAAACCUUAGGUAAAUUUGUCCAAAAAUUCGCAUUGGCGCACUGUAACCCGCCAUCUUUGUUAUGAGUGAGAAAAUGGGGCUCCUAACGCGUUAGGGGUCAAGUUAAAUGUGGGUACACUCUAACAGUAUAAAUUGUUUUCAUCGGAAAAUAUUUCUCCACUUCACACGUCUGGGAAACAAAAAUCCCACUCAGCUAUCACUACUUAAUACCAGUACACUUCGCCUGAUGCAAAGCGAUUAAAUUAAGGUGUUUUCCUUAAGAAAAGUGAGUCACUAAGGAAAAGUACCAUUACAUAACAACUCAGUAGAAAAUGAUUAAUAGUUAUUGUGCGAUCAUCAUUUCAGCCCCAGAAGCAGCAGUUGGUUUGCCUGCAAGAGCUACUAGCCAAAGGAUAAUAGGAGAGGGUGAAGGCAAGUCACUUACUCUUCCUGGCAAUGUUGAAUCGCAAGAGUCUCGGUCGUGUGAUCCAAAAUAAAUUGUACUCCAACUGAAGGAAAUCCUACUUUAGAGCAACCCGCCCCGGAAAGAACGCAAAUGAUGUGUACAUGAGUUUGUAUUUACAUCCUUUCUUUCUUUAAUAUCAAUACGUAAUUAAGAGUGUGUUUUUACCUUCAAGUUACUUAAUAAAAGUUCCCAGACAAUGGAACGAAGAAUAUGUUGGCGAUAUUGAGCUUUUGAGUAACUUGCCCUGGGACUACAAUACAUAUAGUUGACCUCUUGAUUUCGUUCAACAAAGUUAGUUCUCAUAGUUGUAUGGAUUUUAGAGGUCCCGAAUUAGUGCAAGUAGACCAGCUAUUCAGAAAAAGGCUAUGGUUUGACAUAAACAUUUCGAGUUUUAAGGGAAAGACCUGAGGCCCCUUUCUCGAAAGUCCCCAAACUUUUCGGGCGCAUUUCGGGGGACAUAAUUCUCUUUGUGUCUUCAAAACGAAGGCGUCUCGGGACGCGAAAUUUUGCAGUUAUUUAAUUUUUAUUCCCUUUACAACAAAAAGACCAGCUUUACUGAAUAAGUGGAUCGGAGUAUGAAGAAUGGCUUUUCGAGCCCGAAAAUUUUUCGGGACUUUCGAGAAAUGGGCCCUGCGCCGCAUUGUUGCAAGCAUGGUUAGCGCUAAUCUCGCGUUAAGAAGAAUCCAAAACCUUGAGGUUGCUAUGAUAUACAUAACCGUAUUUAGCGCUGACCUGCUGCGAAGAACUCGACUCUGAGAUAAGUUUAUGGAUUUUGUGAUCAACACAGUCCCCAGGCACUCUCCUAGAGAAAGAGGAGGGGAUGGAUCCUGAGAACGACAUUGUCCUGAAAAAGCUUUGCAUCUAUCUCUUUGCAUGUUUAACGUUUUAGCAGUACAAGGCUCUUACAGGAUUUUUGAUCGGUUAGACGCUGUUGAUAUAUUUGCUUUGCUAGUUGUCCGGUACGCCUGUAUAUUUUUUGGUAUUUUAAUUUUUUAAAUAAGGAGUUGGCAUUCAAAGUCCUCUCUUUUGUGAUCGACAUUACACUAUAACAAAGGUUUUUGUUUUAAUUUUGUCUAUAUAAUCAAUAAACAAGGUGAUGACU